rnacentral:rRNA from 1 species
UACGAAGGGGGCUAGCGUUGUUCGGAAUUACUGGGCGUAAAGCGUGCGCAGGCGGCUAUGCAAGACAGAUGUGAAAUCCCCGGGCUCAACCUGGGAACUGCAUUUGUGACUGCAUAGCUAGAGUACGGUAGAGGGGGAUGGAAUUCCGCGUGUAGCAGUGAAAUGCGUAGAUAUGUGGAGGAAUACCGAUGGCGAAGGCAGCCCCCUGGGAUAACACUGACGCUCAUGCACGAAAGCGUGGGGAGCAAACAGG